UCCAGUGGCUACACCAUGUUUCUUAUUAUUAUUUAUUAAUUUCCUCCAGACUUAAACUUAAAUACUGCAAUAACUAAAAAUAGUUUUAUUGAAAUAGGCUUAAUGUUAAAUCAUUUGAAGGAGGAUAGUUUACCUUGAAACUUUAAAGCAAACAUUAAAAAUAUUAUUUAACUAAAUAUGACUAAACGCAUUAAUUUUAUAAAAUAAAAAAACUCUAAUUAUAACAAUCGGUACAAUAGUAAUAUUUAGAUUUUUUUUCUAGUGAAAUAAGUUAAAAUUAUUCAGAAAUAACUGUUCAGCCGUUGUCAAGAAGAAAAUGCAUGAGGCUUGGCGUCCUCGCGCUCCUGCUGUUUGCUCGCGUGCGCGUAGAAGAGUGAUUUCAAAUACAAAGAAGUAACGGCUCCUUUCCUCAAAGAAAGAAACAACUGCGCAAGGUGAGUAAAGGCUCCAAAAUAAAUACACAGGUUUAUUAUGUGUAUACUAAUUCCUACGCUGACACAUUAAACUGUUUGUUUUUUUUUUUUGAUUUGAUUUUUUUGUUUUAACCAUUAAUUUAAUAGCUGCGAUGAUUAAGAGUCUAAUGCACUUUGUGGGACGAAAUGGAGACUACAAACACAAGGUCACAAACAAUAAUUAUUAGUUAGGUUUAACUUACACAUGAUGUUUACGUUUAUUCAUUGUAACUCUUUUCUUCAACUUUUCUAAAUUAUUGUUGUCGUUUAACGUACGUUUGUUAAAUAGUUACACAUCCAUGUUAACUUAACGUUACAUGUAAAGUUAGGCUAUUAGCCUAUUUUUAGAGUCAUUUGCACAUAAUGUAACGUUACAUAAAACUGGUUUUGAUAAUUUUCUCUCCUCAGAAAAUCCAGUAUGACUUCUCUAAAAAUCUCAAAGGAUUCACAGGGCAGCACUAUUUAAUAAAGAAAUGUGGCUCUGUAGUGGACACCUGUGAGGCAGUGGACAGACAGCUGCUGAAGUCUGAUGCUGGCUGACAAUAAACAGACCUCUCUGGAUGUACCUCAUCUUUUGUAGAGUAAUUCUAACAUUGCCCUUCCUGUAACAUGAUGAUCCUGCUGUCCUGGACUGUAUGUGAUGAGCCUACACAUAAUCUCAGAACAGCUGUGGUAAUAGCAGGAGACCCAUUUGGUGAGAGCAGCACUGCAGUCUUUCCUGAUGGAGGAUAUCAUGGACCAUUUGCAUAAGACUGAUGAUGCGUUUCAGCGGCCAUCAGCAUCGUAAAUCCUCACCAUUGUUUUAUAUUUUGAUUUUUUUUUUAAUUAUGUGCAUUAAUAACACUAUACUUUGUAUUAUCUCACAUUUGUAUCAAAUUACAAAAAAAAAAUAGCUAAUGCAAGGGUGUUUCAAAUCCAGUGUCUUUGGGAGGAAUGAUAAAUUUGACAUUGUUCUCUCUUCUGACUGCUGUUAUCAGUCUCUGUCAGAUUUUUUCCUUUGAUUGAAAGUUGUGAAAAUGCUAUCUUUAGAGUUUAUGUUUUGUUAUUUGAGUAAAUGAGAAUGCAAAAAUAUAUUUGUGAUACUCUCCCAUUCACUGCUCUCGAAGUUAUUCUUCCAAUCAGUUACCACUAUUUAGAACAGGAAAGAAAAUGUUACUAUGAAUUGCAUUGUGUCUAAAAUUGAAUUGAAUUUAUUAAUUUAAAUUGUAUCAUUGUUUUAGGUACAUGAAAUGUUUUUUAAAGUUCUAAGAUAAUUGAGUCCCAUUUAUUUGAUAAUAAUUUUACCAAGGUGUAUUUUUUUUUUGUUGUUGUUGUUAUUCGUUUAUAGCUAUAUUACUGAUGUGUCCAUGAAUGGGAUUGUGAUGUGCAAUAUUGACUAUUUAAGGUGAUUAUGGAUAUUGUUGUUGCUUAUCAAUAAACUAUGUUUUAUAUGCAUUUGUUUUAUUUUUUUCAGUUUAUUUUUUUAAAUCAUUAAAAAUGUCAAUAGCAGGAAAAAAUAAAUAAACCAGU